ensembl:misc_RNA predicted gene, 22482
GGAUGUGACAGCGAUCUGGCUGCAGCAUCUGUCUCACCACUCAUCACCAGGAUUGAUUCAGUUGAUCUUGAUGGCUAGGCUGGCAUCCCCUUCCUCCCAGACUGUUCCAUGUGCUUCUUUCACAAAGCUGCAUUCUCAGAUGAAGAGGAUGACUUUACCCAAUAGAGGAAGACCAGUUGUCCAUCAAGGGUAUAUAAGUAGUUGUGCUGCCCUGCUAGAGCCUCCAAACAAGCUCUCAAGAUAUUUAUUAUGCACUGGUGAUAAUGGGAGAGGAAUAUAAGAGGUUAACGAGGGGUGAAUAUGCUCAACAUACAUUAUACACAUGGUUGACAUUGACAAAUAAAUGAAAACAAUUUUAA